AUAUUGUUUUUUUUAUGAAAAUGUAUUUUUUUAUUUACAAUGUUUUUUUGCAAUUGUUUUUGAGGACAUUGAAUAGUGCAUCCAUCUUAACCUUCCUAACGAUUAAACGUUAACCUAUCUUUCGAGGUUUGUGUUGAUUUUAUUUGUGAGGAGAUAGUAGGUUUUAUUAAUUUAGAAAGAAUGAGGAGCGGCGAUAACGAAGCGCCUAAUAUUCAGUUUAAAAAGAAGAAGACGAAACCUUUGAGGAAACGCGAGACUCUCUCGGAUGACAAUGUCAGGUUCCGAUUGCACAUUAAUUUGUUUUUAAUUAAAUGUGUAACAUAUAACUUAGAUUAAGAAAUUUAUUUCAAGGAGAAAGGAGAGAUGAAGAUCAUUCAGAAACUCCGGGAGUGACUAGCUGGCGUCGAUAUUGUUUGGCGCUCGGAAAAAACGUCUCGUCCGAUAUGUUGACGUCGGAUCCCUUUAAUGAAAACCGGAGGAAUAAUGAAUAUGGCUGCGCUAAAGAAUACAAAACAUAAGCUCAAUGAUGCACGACACUGACAUUGGAAAGCAAUUUAACACAGAGAACAAUAAACCAACGAGGACGAAGAAAUGGUCAAGUAUAUGAAAGAAGAAUUGUCAAAGCGCAAAAUAAUAACGAUGCAGCGAAUAGUAUGAGUAAUGAUACGGGAUCACAUUGUUCACCAGAGAAAACAGUGUUGCGUGUGGUACUGCAACAUUUGAGGCAGAGCUCAACCAAUUGUAGCGAGGAAAUGCUUUUGAAUCAAAUGUUAUCUGGUCCAGAAGUCAAUCUUGGCAUAGAGUGACUAGGAGGAAAGCCAGCGUAGCCACGAUAUCUCGGCCAAUGAGCAGCACACAGGAUAUGACAAAGAACACCGUGAGGCAGUGAAAUGCUGUUUCUGGACGUAUGAUUCGCAGAAGGCCAUCUUUCAGCUGCGAAUCUUCGAAAUGGGAGAUCGAAAAACUAGAUCGUACUGAGUUAGUAAUAUUAUUGUGGACUUAGAUUUCUUUUUAUAAAUAUCUUGCACUAGUAUUUAAAAUAUCUAUUGAUCCUUAUGAUACAAUCAUUAUGUUUUCAUAAAAAAAUAAAAAUUGGAAGAUAUUUUUUUAUAUUUAAUUGAGAACAUUGUAAUUUGUGAUUAUUUUUUGAAAAUUUUUACAAAAAAUUAAUAUUUAUAUAAAACAUUAGAAACUCCUACAAAUUUUUGCUUUCAAUAAAUAUUUUUAUAUAUUUAUAGAAUUUUUCUAUAAUUAGGAUUGCUGAGUAAUCAGAAAUUAAGCGAUAGAUUAUAAAUAUAGAUAACUGUUUGGUAAAAUUUUUUUAUAGUAUAUAUAAUUACACAUGAUUAUGCAUAAUCAUAAAAAUAUUUUAUGUAUAAUUGUAAUGUACACUUUAUAUAGAUGUAAAAAUCAAUAGUUUAUAUGAAGAAUUUCAGAAAAGAUGCGAUUUCCUUAACAUGUAUGAAAAAUAUUUCAAUUCGUAUAAAUAAAUAUGAGAAAUUUAUUUUUAAUUGUAAAAUUAUACAAAAAAUCUAUAAAUUCUAAAAAAUUCUAAAAUUUCUAAACUUUUUACUAAGAAAAAUUAUAGUUUAUAAUUCAAAAUAUAUACAUGUUCAACGAUGCUGCUGAUUGUUAACCACGCAACGUUCACUCGAUAAACUAACUAGCUGCUUUGAGUCUGUUAAAACUCCUCUCUUUUAGCUCUUGUGAUAAACGAUUCUCAGUUUUGGACAAGAAUUGGCGGGAAUUCUACCUUUCUGUUCUGCAUAUAAGUUAAGAUUUCGUUAUCAUAGCGCUAUUUAUUCAAAUAUAUAAAUAUUUAAAUAUUAGAUCUGUGUUUUUGUGAGAAAUUCAAGUAAAGGCUUAAUUAACCAUGGCGAAAACAAUGUGCGAACGAAAUAAUUCUAAGAGAACGUCGUACAUUGAUUGGGAUGAAUAUUUCAUGGCUAUUGCGUUCCUUUCUACAAAACAGAGCAAAGAUCCUUGCACCCAGGUCGGCGCGUGUAUCUUUAAUAGUGACAAAAAAAUUGUUGGAAUUGGAUACAACAUGGAAUGCAGUGACGAUGAGUUUCCUUGGAAUAAGGGUCCUCACACUAGUUUAGAUGCAAAAUAUCUUUAUGGUACACCCAGAAAUUUGAUAUUGACAGUAUUAAAUAUUGACCAGUGAUUUAUUUUAAAUAUUAAAAUUACAACUAUUUUAAUACUGUUUUAAUAUUCAAAUAAUAAGUAAUUAUUAUAAUCAUUGGCUAAUUUAAUACUGUCAGUAUUAAAUUUCUGUAAGAACAAUAUAUAAUAAACAAUUUUUUAAAUAAAUUAUGAAAUAGUUUAAGGAUCUAUUACACAUACUGUUCCUGCAAAGUAAAUUAAGAUAAAAUUAUAUUAUUAUCUAUACUUUAUUAAAUUACAUACAUAUAUAAGUUAUCUGAAUAAUAUAUUUAGCAACAUAUUUUUAUAGAUGGUUUAUAUUAAUAAAAAUAACAUUAUUUAUAAAAAUAACAAAAGAAAUUUUAGCUUGUAUAUAAGUCAACAAUUGUCGCAUUAUCGCGAAAAUGCGAUUAUCACGUUAAUCGCUUCGAUCGCUCGCGAGAAUAAUUUAU